AACACUGCGGUGCUUACCAUGCAAGUCGAACGGAAGGCCCUUCGGGGUACUCGAGUGGCGAACGGGUGAGUAACACGUGGGUGAUCUGCCCUGCACUCUGGGAUAAGCCUGGGAAACUGGGUCUAAUACCGGAUAGGACCACACACUUCAUGGUGAGUGGUGCAAAGCUUUUGCGGUGUGGGAUGAGCCCGCGGCCUAUCAGCUUGUUGGUGGGGUAAUGGCCCACCAAGGCGACGACGGGUAGCCGGCCUGAGAGGGUGACCGGCCACACUGGGACUGAGAUACGGCCCAGACUCCUACGGGAGGCAGCAGUGGGGAAUAUUGCACAAUGGGCGCAAGCCUGAUGCAGCGACGCCGCGUGAGGGAUGACGGCCUUCGGGUUGUAAACCUCUUUCAGUAGGGACGAAGCGAAAGUGACGGUACCUACAGAAGAAGGACCGGCCAACUACGUGCCAGCAGCCGCGGUAAUACGUAGGGUCCGAGCGUUGUCCGGAAUUACUGGGCGUAAAGAGCUCGUAGGUGGUUUGUCGCGUUGUUCGUGAAAACUCACAGCUUAACUGUGGGCGUGCGGGCGAUACGGGCAGACUAGAGUACUGCAGGGGAGACUGGAAUUCCUGGUGUAGCGGUGGAAUGCGCAGAUAUCAGGAGGAACACCGGUGGCGAAGGCGGGUCUCUGGGCAGUAACUGACGCUGAGGAGCGAAAGCGUGGGUAGCGAACAGGAUUAGAUACCCUGGGUAGUCCAAA
rnacentral:rRNA from 1 species